AAGUCGUAACAAGGUUUCCGUAGGUGAACCUGCGGAAGGAUCAUUAAUUAAAAUUUAUGCCAUUUUUUUUUAAUUUUCUUUUGAUUUUCAGAAGGAAAUUACCAAAAAUUGGUUAACCACUUUGUGAAAAAAACAUGUAGAAAGAUCUUUGACGAUCUUUCAUUUUAAAUACGUAAUUAUAAUAUUAAACUAAUAAAAAAAACAACUUUUGACAACGGAUCUCUUGGCUCUC
rnacentral:misc_RNA from 1 species